rnacentral:tRNA from 1 species
AGCAGUAUGGCUCACUGGAAAGAGCCCAGGCCUGUGAGUCAGAGGUCAUGGGUUUGAAUCCCAGUUCAGCUG